rnacentral:lncRNA from 1 species
AUGACCUUUUGGGUCAUCACAUGAAUUGAACCUUUAGAAUUCAACUUUUGUGGAUAUGAAUUGAAAUUUUAGGAUAUGAAUUGAACCUUUAGGAUAUGAAUUUGAAAUUUUUGUGUAGGAAUUGAGCCUUUAGGAUAUGAAUUGGACUUUUAGUUUAUGUAUUGGAAUUUUAGUUUAUAAAUUGAAAUUUUAGGAUAUGAAUUGAACUUUUGUGGAUAUGAAUUGAAAUUUUAGGAUAUGAAUUGAACCUUUAGGAUAUGAAUUGAAAUUUUUGUGUAUGAAUUGAACCUUUAGGAUAUGAAUUUGAAAUUUUUGUGUAGAAUUGAACCUUUAGGAUAUGAAUUGGACUUUUAGUUUAUGUAUUGGAAUUUUAGGAUAUGAAUUGAACUUUUGUGGAUACGUAUUGAAAUUUUAAGAUAUGAAUUGAAAUUUUUGUGUAUGAAUUGAACUUUUAGGAUAUGAAUUGGACUUUUAGGAUAUGAAUUGAGCCUUUAGGAUAUGAAUUUAACUUUUAGGGUCGCUUCACAGCUGACGUGGAGGAAUUCAUACGCAGUCAUCCACCUAAUGAGUCGGGCGAGGCAAUCCAACUUUUGGACGAGGAUGCUGAAAGAACACUCCUUGAGUACUUUAUAUACUUUGAACUAGACAAUAGAACCGAUUUUCGAAUAGGCUUGUAAUAAGCGUUAACUUAGUUUUUUUAGCUUAAUGUGCUAGUUCUAUUGAACUUUAUACUUUGUUGGUAUUAAUGUUAUUGUUAAUGUUGUUGUUAAUAUUGUUGUUGUUGUGUUGUUGUUGUUGUUGUUGUUGUUGUUGGUUUUGUUGUUAGUAUUGUUGUUGUUGUUGCUUGUAAUAGGGAAUUUGGUAUGCUGGCAUGUGGUGUAGCUGCCAAAACAGGCAGCCAAAAUUAUAUCCAGAAUAGCGACCAACUUUGGUCG